rnacentral:rRNA from 1 species
GAUGAACGCUGGCGGCGUGCCUAAUACAUGCGAGUCGAGCGAACGGACGAGAAGCUUGCUUCUCUGAUGUUAGCGGCGGACGGGUGAGUAACACGUGGAUAACCUACCUAUAAGACUGGGAUAACUUCGGGAAACCGGAGCUAAUACCGGAUGAUAUUUUGAACCGCAUGGUUCAAAAGUGAAAGACGGUCUUGCUGUCACUUAUAGAUGGGUCCGCGCUGCAUUAGCUAGUUGGUAAGGUAACGGCUUACCAAGGCAACGAUGCAUAGCCGACCUGAGAGGGUGAUCGGCCACACUGGAACUGAGACACGGUCCAGACUCCUACGGGAGGCAGCAGUAGGGAAUCUUCCGCAAUGGGCGAAAGCCUGACGGAGCAACGCCGCGUGAGUGAUGAAGGUCUUCGGAUCGUAAAACUCUGUUAUUAGGGAAGAACAUAUGUGUAAGUAACUGUGCACAUCUUGACGGUACCUAAUCAGAAAGCCACGGCUAACUACGUG